GUGUGUGUGUGUGUGUGUGUGUGUGUGUGUGUGUGUGUGUGUGUGUGUGUGUGUGUGUGUGUGUGUGUGUGUGUGUGUGUGUGUGUGUGUGUGUGUGUGUGUGUGUGUGUGUGUGUGUGUGCGCGCGCGCAUCAGUGUAGCUCUUCAGCAGCUAUCCCUCUUCCCUCUGAGGCUUCCUCUCCCUCC